rnacentral:rRNA from 1 species
AUGAACGCUGGCGGCGUGCCUAAUACAUGCAAGUCGAACGAGUUCUCGUUGAUGAUCGGUGCUUGCACCGAGAUUCAACAUGGAACGAGUGGCGGACGGGUGAGUAACACGUGGGUAACCUGCCCUUAAGUGGGGGAUAACAUUUGGAAACAGAUGCUAAUACCGCAUAGAUCCAAGAACCGCAUGGUUCUUGGCUGAAAGAUGGCGUAAGCUAUCGCUUUUGGAUGGACCCGCGGCGUAUUAGCUAGUUGGUGAGGUAAUGGCUCACCAAGGCGAUGAUACGUAGCGACCCUGAGAGGGUAAUCGGCCACAUUGGGACUGAGACACGGCCCAGACUCCUACGGGAGCAGCAGUAGGGAA